CCUACGGGUGGCAGCAGUGGGGAAUAUUGGGCAAUGGGCGCAAGCCUGACCCAGCAACGCCGCGUGAAGGAUGAAGGUCCUCGGGUUGUAAACUUCUUUUGUCAGGGACGAACCAAAUGACGGUACCUGACGAAUAAGCCACGGCUAACUACGUGCCAGCAGCCGCGGUAAUACGUAGGUGGCAAGCCUUAUUCGGAUUUAAUGGGUGUAAAGGGCGUGUAGGCGGGAGAGCAAGGCAGAUGUGAAAUUGCAGGGCUCAAACCUGGAACUGCAUUUGAAACUGUUUUUCUUGAGUGAUGGAGAGGCAGGCGGAAUUCCGUGUGUAGCGGUGAAAUGCGUAGAUAUACGGAAGAACACCAGUGGCGAAGGCGGCCUACUGGACAUUAACUGACGCUGAGGCACGAAAGCGUGGGGAUCGAACAGGAUUAGAUACCCUUGUAGUC
rnacentral:rRNA from 1 species